CACGCUCUGCGGUGCUCUGUGACGCACGUCUAUUGUCUAUUGAUCGUCAGCGUUUAUAUUAGUUAUGGAACACCCAGCCUUUGAGGAGGCCGGUCAAGAGCCAGGCUUGGAAAUAUGGACUAUUGACAAAUUUGAGCCCGUGGCCAUAGAACGCAAAUUAUACGGAAAGUUUUACAAUGGUGACUCCUACAUUGUUCUAAAGACAACAGGAGACAACAGUUCCACACUCUCCUACGACGUCCACUUCUGGUUGGGUAGCAAGACAUCACAGGACAAGAAAGGAGCAGCUGCCAUUCUGACCAUAACCCUGGAUGAUCAGCUGGGAGGCAGAGCGGUACACCACAGGGAAGUCCAGGGGCAUGAGACUAGCCACUUCUUGGGUUACUUCCAACCUGCUAUCAGAUAUUUAGAAGGAGGCAACGAAUCAGGCUUCAACGAAGUAGAGACUAACGCUGGUGCAGAGAAGAGACUUCUGCAGCUUUCCGGUUGUGAAAAUAUGAGAAUCGAAGAAGUGCCAGCAGAUGCGUCCUCGCUCACCAAGGACCACUGCUUCAUCCUGGAGGUAGAGCACGACAUCUUCGUGCUCAUGCCCGACGGAGCACGCGCCACUCAGAGGCGGAAGAUCAUCAGCGUCGCCAACAGCCUGCGAGAUGAUUACCAUAACGGAAGGGCUACUAUUGAAAUUAUUGAUGAAUUCUCAUCAGACGAAGACUUCGAACAGUUCUUUGAAGCGCUCGGCUCUGGAUCAAAGGACGAUCUCGUUGACGAUGACUCCACUCAGAUGUACGCCCGUGAAAAUAUGUCCGCCGUGUACUUUUACAAAGUGCUGGUGGGCGACGAGAUAGAGCUGGUGCAAGUCAACAAACCGUUUAGACAGAGACAGCUGUCAUCUGAGGAUGUGUUCAUCCUGGACACGCCGUGCUCUGGAGUGUACGUGUGGCUCGGCAGGGACGUUGACCCCGAGGUCAAGCGAAGCUAUAACAGCAUCGCGCAGCAGUAUCUGGACGUCAAGGGCUAUCCUGGUUGGGUGCCAGUCACUCGCGUGUCUGACGGUGCGGAGACUAGCACUUUCAAGCAGUACUUCCACAGCUGGGACUCUGUGAAGCCCGUCACUGGGGGGUCUGUCAAAUCCAUCGCUUCACAAUUUGAAGCGGGACUAUUCUCCGAUGACUCUGAUGAUGGAGAGGCAUUCGCCAAGUUUGUGGGCAAGAGUGCUGCAGCCAGAAGCUACAUGCCUGAUGAAGGGGCGGGAGACCUCACCAUAUUUAGGGCAGCAGAAGAAGCCGAAGAUAUUACGGAGAGUCAGUCAGAGUCGCCCCGUCUGUACCAGGGCGAGGUGUACGUCACCAGAUACCAGUACAAGGAUGACAAUGACGAAGACGCCACCGUCGUGUACUUGUGGAUUGGUGAAAAAGCUGACGAUGCUAGCAAAGAGGCUGGUUUAAAACUCGUUGGUGAAAUCGAAGAGGAGUUGGAAGGCAAUGUCACUAUUGUGAAAAUACCACAAGGGAAGGAAACUAAACACUUUUUGAGUAUAUUCAAAGGAAAUCUCCUAAUUAUUUGCGGAAGCAAGGAAGAGGAAUACAAAGCUGAAAACUUUAACAAAUCUUACGAUGACACCGGCGUCCGAUUAUUCAAGGUGGAAGGAACUAAAGUAGGUGUAGACAUGCGUGCCACACAAGUGGAGGAAUCCGCUAACUCUUUAGAGGACGACGAUAUCUACAUACUGGAGACCCCGAGCGCUGUUUACAUGUGGAAUGGAAAGGAGUCUAGCGAACAAGAGCAGGAAGCUGCCAAGAACUUCGUCACAUCACUGGCUGGUGACAAAGAGGUCACAGAGAUUAACCAAGGAGAUGAAACGGACGAGUUCUGGGAAUUUUUGGGAGGAGCACCAGAGGAGAAAGAAGAGAGAUCUGGGUGGAAGCUGGCAGCUAACCGUCGAGUCACCACUCCUCUUACGUUGACUGCGGUGACUGUACGCGCUUCGGGGAAGAUCAGGUUCGAGGAACUGCCGCCAGGGUUUACUCAGAAGGAUCUGUCAGAUGACGGGGCAUACAUUUUGGACGGCGGGGAAGAACUCUACCUGUGGCUUGGCGCCGCCAUACCAGAACGAGUUAAAGCUGCGAGACUAAAGAUUAUUGAGGAAUACAUAGAAGACGACGGCCUGGACCGCUCGGUGGACUCUGCCAUCGUGGUGACACUGAAGCAAGGUCGGGAGCCCGCCAUCUUCAAGCAACUGUUCCCUGAAUGGGAAGAUGAUUUGUGGGAGAACCAAGCCUCUUACGAAGAUAUCAAGAAUGAGACCAAAGCUGCUAAUUCCAAGUAAAACAUCCAUAAUAAUAAACAUAAUUUAUAAUAGUACAUUAUGAUAUAAGUCCGGUAAGUUGAAAAUUACAGCUGAGGCGAUAUUGCAGCUCGAGCCGAAGGCGAGAGCUAUAAUAAGGAAGCAGAGGCUGUAAUAGGGAUGAUGACAGUUUUUUAAAUUGUAUAUAAAUUAAGAGUACGCUAAUAGUAAAACAAUUUUGUAAAAGUAACAGGGUAUCUGCGAUCAUUACUUUCGGAGCUACAGGGAUUUAAAGGGUCAGAUUUGCGGAUCCCUGAAAAACGCCCCAAAAUGGCACGAUUUGAUGACGUCGUUGGCUCGCUGAUCUAUGUAUGGGCGUUCAAACAAAAUUACUAAUAUCUUUGUUAUUUGUGCGUUUAUGUUUAUAGUUCAUUUAUUGAAAAAUGUCACAUUUAAUGUAAGGAAGCUAAAACUGUAUGAAUUUUCAUCUAAUUACGAUAAAAGAUUUUUAAUAGAUUUUGAAAUUUUAUAAUCUCAUUUAUUUUGCAAAUAUCCAGUUAAUCUUUGCUUUUUAUGUAUAAAUCAGUUAACAUUGACCUUAUUUACCCGAAUGUAUCAUAAAAAUCAAUAUAUUCAAACCUAGUCAUCAUCCCCAUUAGCGGGUUAGGUUCGAAUCUGGUCCGGAUCAUGCACCUCAACUUUUCAGUUG